UACGAAGGGGACUAGCGUUGUUCGGAAUCACUGGGCGUAAAGAGCGCGCAGGCGGUCGUCCAAGUCGCGUGUGAAAGCCCCCGGCUCAACUGGGGAGGGUCACGCGAUACUGGUCGACUCGAAGGCAGGAGAGGGUAGUGGAAUUCCCGGUGUAGUGGUGAAAUGCGUAGAUAUCGGGAGGAACACCAGUGGCGAAGGCGACUACCUGGCCUGUUCUUGACGCUGAGGCGCGAAAGCUAGGGGAGCAAACGGG
rnacentral:rRNA from 1 species